GAUGAACGCUAGCGGCAGGCCUAACACAUGCAAGUCGAGGGGUAGCAGGAUUAAGCUUGCUUAAUUGCUGACGACCGGCGCACGGGUGCGUAACGCGUAUGCAACCUACCUUAUACUGGGGUAUAGCCCGGAGAAAUUCGGAUUAAUCCCCCAUAGUACUAAUGAAUCGCAUGGUUUAUUAGUUAAAGCAUUGCGGUAUAAGAUGGGCAUGCGUCCUAUUAGCUAGAUGGAGGUAACGGCUCACCAUGGCUACGAUAGGUAGGGGGCCUGAGAGGGUGGUCCCCCACACUGGUACUGAGACACGGACCAGACUCCUACGGGAGGCAGCAGUGAGGAAUAUUGGUCAAUGGGCGCAAGCCUGAACCAGCCAUGCCGCGUGCAGGAAGAAUGCCCUAUGGGUUGUAGACUGCUUUUAUUUGGGAAUAAACCUCUUAACGUGUAGAGAGCUGAAGGUACCAAAUGAAUAGGCACCGGCUAACUCCGUGCCAGCAGCCGCCGCAG
rnacentral:rRNA from 1 species